UUUUUUUAUUUUUAAAAAUCUAUAUUUGUCUCCUAAAAAUUUUAAAAAUAUUUUUCAGAGGGGUACGGCGUUAAUGUAGAGGGCAAAAUAACCAAAUUAUGAAAGAAAAAUUAUUUUUUAAUACAUUUUCGUCAUUUUAAAAGAAAUUUUUAGUAUAAAUUAUAAAAAAUGAUCGGAAAAGUGAUGGAACACUGAAGGAGGGGAGCUAAAUGCAAUAACUUAAAAUGUUGAGAGGGUAAAAUAUAGAUUUUUGAAAGUUAGAAAGAGAAAAUUUAAAAAAAAAGUAUUUAUAAGGAGUUUUCCAUAAUUUAGUCUUUCGAUAUGGAGUUGAGUUGCUAUGCUUUUAAAAGGCGAUUUUUAGUGCAAUAACCCUCCCCUAAAAUUUUAUUUUAAAAAUAGACCCGUUAAAUUUUAAUUUGUAAAUAUGGUCCUAUAAAAGCGGUGAAUCAUUCACCGCUUUCUUUCUCUUUCUCACUUUUUUCUAUAUUUCUACGAUGGUAAAAGCGGUGAAUGGUUCACCGCUUUUAUUCUUUUUCUACUUCUAGAGAAGAGUUAUGAAUGCGGUGAAUCAUUCAUCGCAUUUAGAGGUCUAUUUUAUAAUUAUUUUUUAAAAAAAAUUAUUUUUACAAUUAUAAAAAUCAAUAGGAUUAUUUAUAAAAAAAAUUCUUUUAAAAGCACAAAAACAUCCAUGCUUAUAAUUUUUUAACCGUUGAAUCGUCUCAGGAUUCGUACAGUACUAGUAAAAAAAAAAAAUCUUAAUAGGAUACACAAUUAAUAGUACUAUAAAAAUUUUGAGUCAAUUCGACGAUUAAAAUCACAAGCACAGAUAUUUUUAGUUUAAAAGUACACUAGUGUAGUUACCCGCACGAUGCGACGAGUAGAUAUUAUCAAAAUAAUUAUUUUUUUUAGUCAUUGUUGAUCGUCGAUAAUAUUUUGGAGAAAUAAGUCUAAAAUAUACAGUUCAUCAAAUACAUAGAAAAUAAUACUCUAAAUAUGAAAUGAAGAACAUUAGUUUAAAUAGUUCGCAAGAAUUGGUAAAAAACUACUAAAAAUAAUUUUUUAUAUGUAUUCACUCAACAAUCUAUACAAUUAAACUCAAAGUGAAGAAAGUGAUUAAACUAUAAAAAAAAGAUAAAUACACGUCUACAAGAUAUAAAAUCUUUAGAAUUAAACAGUAUACAGGAAACAUAAAUAACGUAAACAAUCGUACAUACAAAUAAAUCACAGAAUAUGUCCAAAAUUUAUGGGUUCUCCCUUGUAUAGAGGAGCAAUAAGGGUACCAAAAUUCUAAGAUCCUCCUUGUCGAUGAUGUUGAACCUCUGGCGAAAAUACUUGUGAAGAACCUCCCAAACGACAUUGGACACCUUGUUCCCCACCUCAAGGAUCUGAUCUAUAGAGUCGAAAAUUAGAUCGAUCAAAGACAAAAUCAAUAGAAAAUAAUGCAAAACCCUACCAAUUCGAGGCGAUUUUGAACCGUGGGCAAGAUUUGCCAAAACUUCUUGAGCAUACGUAGAGAGAGAGAUUAGUGACGGAUAAAUAUUACUAAUAAUUCAAUAGAGAUGAGACAAUUAUAUUAACUCAAUAGAGAUGAGACAAUUAUAUUAACAAAAUCUCUAAAACACAAAAAAAAAAGAAUAUUAGUAAUUUAGCAAAGUUUUUAUCAAGAGUCUUGAUGAACUGGUUCAAAGUGGGGAGCACCUUCAACCUCUGCUUGAGAAUUCUACUCUGUCACUAGAUGCGCACCACCUUCAGCACUUCACGAAGCAAAUGAAGUCCCUCUUCAGCUAGAGAGCUCUGCCGAUCCCGAAGAGGAUCAUUCCAUGACACCACUUUGAGUAUAGCUUUGGAGGGUACAGAAGAGGCAGAAAUCCUAAAAGGAGUGUGAGAGAUAAAGAAGAGAGGGUUUAUAAAAAACGUGUGGAAAAAGUACCAACAAAUCUCGUAUGGUCUCGACCAUUGAAUAUAUUGAUGAGGAAAUGAUCGGUUUAUGUCGAUCGUUCGAUUGAAGAUUGUAAGGGUUUGGAUUAAAUUGAUGUGUGGUGUCUCUUUUGCAAAGACUCGUAGUGGUUAGGGAAGAAUGGGGAGUUACAGAAAAGGGGGAAGACGGAGGGACGCAGGAAGAAGAAAGGAAAAGGGAUGACACAUGAGUUAUAUAGAUGGUUGUGGAGAAGAAUGAGGAGUUAUACAGAGGAGGAAAAUGAAGUGACACAGGGAGGGAAAGAGAAGACGGAGUCACGGGAGUUACAUAGAGAGAGAGGGUAAGCGAGCCAUCUAAAUGAGAAAAAAAAAACUCUUAAAACAAGGAUGUUGCGCCACGUCAGCAAAAUUAUUGGGAAAUAAUAUAUGUUUAUAGAUUUAUAGAUUAUUGGGAAAUAAUAUAUGUUUAUAGAUGUUGCGCCAUGUCAGCAAAAUUAUUGAGAAAUAAUAUAUGUUUAAAGAUGAGCACAAUUCAUAUCUAAUAUUGCCCUUCAAAACUUUCAAAAUAUCUAACAUAUAUCUAUUAAUCAAAAUACCUUUAUUAAUUUUCAAAAGUUUCUUCAAAAAUCCAAACAUCUGAGAUUUAGUAAUGGAAAUUGGGAUUUAGAAGGGUACUUAGAUAAUUUUAGGUUAAAUUUGAAAAUUUUGAAUAGUAGCCAAGAGUAAAUAAGCAAAAUCCUUCUUUUUUGGUAUAAAAUUACAGAACUUAUUUAUACUAUGGAUCAUUUUGAUUCGACAAUUCAAUCUGUGAAAAUUUUAACUUUACUACCCAACUUUUCGAUUUAUUUGAUUUCAGUUGUCAACGACACUUUGACCUUAAAAUUUAAACGCAUUUUGUAGAUUUAGUUAGUAUAAUUCAUGUAACUUGCGCUACUAUACAUUUAUUAAAAUAAAUAAUAGCUUAGAUUUUUAAGAGAAUUAUACGAAUUAUUCUGUGUCGUUAGAUAUAUUUAGUUAGUACAAUCCAAUCUUUUUCUUUUUUUUUUUUCUUUUCUUUCACUAUACGCAUUCUUUUCUGCUACUGCACCCCUCCCUUGCCCUUUGCCACAACUGCCGCCCCUAUCCAGACGUGCUCUCUCUCUCUCACCGUCGUCCUCAAAUACCGCAACACCCUCAUCACCGUCACUAUCACUGUCGUUGCCACCGCUCAUGGCUACGCCCUCCACCAAAGUCUCACCUCAACAAUCUAUACUGCAUUAACUCCGGCGUCGGCGGAGGUGUGGGCAAAAUAGGAGAGAGAAGCACGGCAUUAACAUGGAGGUGGUGGAGGAGGGAAGGGAAGUGGGAGGAGAAAGAGAAAAAGGAACAGCGAAGAGGCAAGAGAAAAACGAAUUACAGAGAAAGGCAAGAAAAAGAGGAAUAAAUAUAUUUUGGUUAGUUUACUAAAAUUCAAUUCUAAUUUGCAAAACUUAAAAAAAUGAUAUAUUUUUGCAGAAAUGCAAGACCAAAAAAAUGAUAUAUUUUUGCAGAAACGCAAGACCAGUGACUUCUUUAUGCAAAUUGGCCAGUUAUUACUAAAUUAUUUAUCUNGAAAUGUGAAUCAACUAUGAUUCGAACUUGGGACCUCAGUACCAACCAUCAAGCCUUUCGCCACUUGCUCUAGGGAUGGUCGGUGAGAAGAGUUAUGAAUGCGGUGAAUCAUUCACCGCAUUUAGAGGUCUAUUUUUAUAAUUAUUUUUUAAAAAAAUUUAUUUUUACAAUUAUAAAAAUUGAUAGGAU
rnacentral:lncRNA from 1 species